GGACUACUGGGGUUUCUAAUCCUGUUUGCUCCCCAUGCUUUCGUACCUCAGCGUCAGUAUUAGGCCAGAUGGCUGCCUUCGCCAUCGGUAUUCCUCCAGAUCUCUACGCAUUUCACCGCUACACCUGGAAUUCUACCAUCCUCUCCCAUACUCUAGCUCACCAGUAUCGAAUGCAAUUCCCAAGUUAAGCUCGGGGAUUUCACAUCCGACUUAAUAAGCCGCCUACGCACGCUUUACGCCCAGUAAAUCCGAUUAACGCUCGCACCCUCUGUAUUACCGCGGCUGCUGGCACAGAGUUAGCCGGUGCUUAUUCUGCGAGUAACGUCCACUAUCUCUAGGUAUUAACUAAAGUAGCCUCCUCCUCGCUUAAAGUGCUUUACAACCAUAAGGCCUUCUUCAC
rnacentral:misc_RNA from 1 species